rnacentral:rRNA from 1 species
UACGUAGGUGACCAGCGUUGUCCGGAUUUACUGGGCGUAAAGAGCGCGCGGGCGGUCGUUCAAGUCGAGUGUGAAAGCCCCCGGCUCAACUGGGGAGGGUCAUUCGAUACUGAUCGACUGGAAGGCAGGAGAGGGAAGCGGAAUUCCCGGUGUAGUGGUGAAAUGCGUAGAUAUCGGGAGGAACACCAGUGGCGAAGGCGGCUUCCUGGCCUGUUCUUGACGCUGAGGCGCGAAGGCCAGGGGAGCAAACGGG